rnacentral:rRNA from 1 species
GAAGCCCGGGCACUCUGGAAGGACUGCCAUCGACAAGAUGGAGGAAGGUGGGGACGACGUCAAGUCAUCAUGGCCCUUACUGUCCAGGGCGGACACACGUGCUACAAUGGCCGGCACAACGGGAAGCGAGUUCGCGAGGACGAGCGGAUCCUUUAAAGCCGGUCGCCAGUUCGGAUUGAAGUCUGCAACUCGACUUCAUGAACGCUGGAAUCGCUAGUAAUCGCAGAUCAGCCAAGCUGCGGUGAAUACGCUCCCGGGCCCGUU